rnacentral:misc_RNA from 1 species
AUCUUAUAUACCCAUGUGAUGGAUCUCAAACAAAUCAGGCAUUCCGAAUUCACAUUCCCUAGUUACAACUCUUCCAUAAACAAAAAAAAUUCUAAGUUGAUCUUCUUGAUUAACUUCUGAAGUCCACAUGAGUUCACUUGCCAGGUGCUUUCUAAGCAAAUUCUUAACUAGUCUGUAUUGGCCGCUAAAAAGGCAUUACCAGCUUCUUUAGACAAAGAAUCCAUUUAUUUGAACGCUAG